GGGCGGAGUCAGGAGUCUCCGGCCAGCCACAGAGGAAGCAAGAUGAGAAGGCUCACUGAGGAAAGGUACCAAGCCACGUGGCUAAACAUAGGCGAUGAGUGAAGAAGGAAGAAACAAAGCUGACUCUGUACCACCACCAUGGGUGUGGCACUUCACCCUGGAGAUGGGCGUGGCACUUCACCCUGGAGAUGGGCGUGGCACUUCACCCUGGAGAUGGGCGUGGCACUUCACCCUGGAGAUGGGCGUGGCACUUCACCCUGGAGAUGGCCACUCAGCCUCACGGAAAAAGAAUGUCGUCCCCAUGAUUGUCACAGCCAGCUCCAGCGUUGGCUCCAGCAACAGACAGGGACAGAUUAAAGUCAGUAGUGCUUGUGGUCCAGGGCCCUGGAAGGACUCCAGCAAUGGAGUCCUAGCAAUACACAUGGUAGAUAGCGUGCUAGUCUGUAGCAAUACACAUGGUAGAUAGCAUGCUAGUCUGGCUGAGCUGCCCUAACCCUUAAACAAGUCAUGAAUGUCUCACAAUUCAGGGGGCUAGGAAAUGCACAGAUCAAGGGCUGGGCGAUUGGUUCCUGCUAAGGAGGCAUGGUUAAUUCUGUUGGCCAGCAUGACAGGGACUAGACUCAGUGAACAGACCAUCCUCUGAGUAUGUCCGUGAAGGAUUUUUUUAAUCCAACUUUUAUUUUCAAUAGUCCUGUGAAGGGCUAUUUUGUUCAGGGUAGCUGACAAAGGAAGACCAAUCCUAAGUUUGGGUGGUGCCAUUUCCUGGGCUGGGGGCAGAGUCGCAUGAGGUGGAGAGAACUAGCUCAGCCCCAGCAUCCUUGGACAGCUGGUGAACAUGAGCAGUGCCCCAGGCUUCUGCCUCCCCUGACAGGAUGGACUGUGCCCUGCAGCUACGAGCCAAAUCAAACUUCCUUCUUUAAGCUGCUUUUGUCGGAAUAUUUUGUCACAGCAGCAGGACAAGUAACUCACACAAAGGACUCUUCUGCCUUGCAGACAGCUUCUUUCUCACAGUCUUCACACUGGGGAGACACAGCCCGUCUCACUCUUCCUCUUCAGAUGCCAUCAUGGGGGCCCUGUACUCAUGACCUCAUCUAAUCCUAGUCGCUUCCAAAGAGCCCAUUUCCAAAUGCCAUGACUAUUGGGGCGAGGACUUGAACGCAUGAGUUUAAAGGCAGCACGUCUCAGCCCAUGGCAUUACAUACACACAUCACAAUCCCACCACGGGAAAUGUAUGCAAGAUACAUAACAUGUAUAAUAUAGACACCGACAUAUGUUGAAAGAAAGUUAGUAUCUCUCUCUUUCUACUUUCCGUCCCCGUUACUAUGCUUCCUUCUCGGGUAAGGCCACCCUGGACUGACGACAGGCAUACUGGGGACCCUGCUGAGAAGUUGCAGUAAAUAUAUAUUGGAUGUGAGUUUGUGGUCAGGGUGGGGAGGGCAUGAGGCCCACUCUGCCAACUCCCCAGGAUCCUGCCCUGCGGCACAGAGGGAGGCUCAGAGAAGAGGAAUGUGGGUCACGGCACCCGGCCCUGAAACUAAUCCACUAGAGGAUCAGGACGGGUGAAGCCAAAGCAUUUUUAUGGGGGAAAAUCUUCUAACUCAGAUAUGAAAGAACCUCUUGUGAAGGACCCGCUGGGUUUAACUGCAGUCCUCCGGAUGCACAGGACACCGCCAGUGGGUCUGAAGCUGCAAGGAAUUUCCCUGUCAUUAGCUUAGAAAAGCCUCAGAGGGAGACAACAUCUGUUCUCUCAAAGCAACGAAUCAAAACUGCUGACACAGGGAGAGAACGUGUGUGGUCCGAAGCUAUGAAGAAAACUGUUCGCAAGGUGAUAGAUGGGCAACAAGCUGAUUUAAAUAUUA